CUGGUUGAUCCUGCCAGUAGUCAUAUGCUUGUCUCAAAGAUUAAGCCAUGCAUGUGUAAGUAUGAACGAAUUCAGACUGUGAAACUGCGAAUGGCUCAUUAAAGCUUGUUUGAUGGUAACUACUACUCGGAUAACUGUAGUAACUCUAGAGCUAAUACGUCCAACAAACCCAGACUUCUGGAAGGGAUGAUUUUAUUAGAUAAAAGGUCGACGCGGGCUCUGCCCGUUGCUAUGAUGAUUCAUGAUAACUUGACGGAUCGCAUGGCCUUAGUGCUGGCGACGAAUCAUUCAAAUUUCUGCCCUAUCAACUUUUGAUGGUAGGAUAGUGGCCUACCAUGGUGUUAACGGGUGAUGGAGAAUUAGGGUUUCACUACAAGAAAACAGGUCGUUUCCGACUACGGUAUUAGUCGGUAUUCAGUCGGUAAAUGGUCAUUUCCGACUGAUUAACGACUGAUAAGAGUCGUCGUAAUAUACCUCGUCGCUAAAUAUUUUAGUCGUAAAACAGUCGGUAUUUAGCGACUGUU
rnacentral:ncRNA from 2 species